ACUCCUCUCGUAAGUAAUUGUUUGGCGCAUGCAUCACUUCCCGAGCACAUGCUGAUGGUGAUUUACGCGAGGAAUAAACGGAUACGCAGAGUUUGGUUCGCCCACAAAAAUGAAAAAAAAAGUAAGGCUAUAGCUCAUAAAAAUGUUGGCCAAGCCAGGUCCAUUCACUCCUCUCGUAAGUAAUUGUUUGGCACAUGCAUCACUUCCCGAGCACAUGCUGAUGGUGAUUUACGCGAGGAAUAAACGGAUACGCAGAGUUUGGUUCGCCCACAAAAAUGAAAAAAAAAAAGUAAGGCUAUAGCUCAUAAAAAUGUUGGCCAAGCCAGGUCCAUUCACUCCUCUCGUAAGUAAUUGUUUGGCACAUGCAUCACUUCCCGAGCACAUGCUGAUGGUGAUUUACGCGAGGAAUAAACGGAUACGCAGAGUUUGGUUCGCCCACAAAAAUGAAAAAAAAAGUAAGGCUAUAGCUCAUAAAAAUGUUGGCCAAGCCAGGUCCAUUCACUCCUCUCGUAAGUAAUUGUUUGGCACAUGCAUCACUUCCCGAGCACAUGCUGAUGGUGAUUUACGCGAGGAAUAAACGGAUACGCAGAGUUUGGUUCGCCCACAAAAAUGAAAAAAAAAGUAAGGCUAUAGCUCAUAAAAAUGUUGGCCAAGCCAGGUCCAUUCACUCCUCUCGUAAGUAAUUGUUUGGCACAUGCAUCACUUCCCGAGCACAUGCUGAUGGUGAUUUACGCGAGGAAUAAACGGAUACGCAGAGUUUGGUUCGCCCACAAAAAUGAAAAAAAAAGUAAGGCUAUAGCUCAUAAAAAUGUUGGCCAAGCCAGGUUCAUUCACUCCUCUCGUAAGUAAUUGUUUGGCGCAUGCAUCACUUCCCGAGCACAUGCUGAUGGUGAUUUGCGCGAGGAAUAAACGGAUACGCAGAGUUUGGUUCGCCCACAAAAAUGAAAAAAAAAAAGCAAGGCUAUAGCUCAUAAAAAUGUUGGCAAAGCCAGGUCCAUUCACUCCUCUCGUAAGUAAUUGUUUGGCACAUGCAUCACUUCCCGAGCACAUGCUGAUGGUGAUUUACGCGAGGAAUAAACGGAUACGCAGAGUUUGGUUCGCCCACAAAAAUGAAAAAAAAAAGCAAGGCUAUAGCUCAUAAAAAUGUUGGCCAAGCCAGGUUCAUUCACUCCUCUCGUAAGUAAUUGUUUGGCGCAUGCAUCACUUCCCGAGCACAUGCUGAUGGUGAUUUACGCGAGGAAUAAACGGAUACGCAGAGUUUGGUUCGCCCACAAAAAUGAAAAAAAAGUAAGGCUAUAGCUCAUAAAAAUGUUGGCCAAGCCAGGUCCAUUCACUCCUCUCGAAAGUAAUUGUUCGGCGCAUGCAUCACUUCCCGAGCACAUGCUGAUGGUGAUCUACGCGAG